rnacentral:rRNA from 1 species
UACAGAGGUCUCAAGCGUUGUCCGGAUUUAUUGGGCGUAAAGAGCGUGUAGGCGGCCAGACAGGUCAGCUGUGAAAACUCGAGGCUCAACCUCGAGACGUCGGUUGAAACCGUCUGGCUAGAGUCCGGAAGAGGAGAGUGGAAUUCCCGGUGUAGCGGUGAAAUGCGCAGAUAUCGGGAAGAACACCCGUGGCGAAGGCGGCUCUCUGGGACGGUACUGACGCUGAGACGCGAAAGCGUGGGGAGCGAACAGG